UCCUGCCCGUGUCCAGCUGAAGUAUUUUGUAAAUAAAACAUGGCAAAUCGACCUGAAUUGAUUGUUUUAUUGAAACAUGUGUGGCGUUCUCGAAAGUAAAAUGUUAUUUGCUCUGUGAAAGCUACAGUUUAAACGUCUAUUGGCAAUGUGUUAAUCCACCAACGGAAUGAGAAGUAUCUGAAAGUUAUGGAACCAUCGCAGAUCAUACUAUAAUAUAUACACGAAAACAUGACUCCACAAAUUUUCACGUUGUUUUACUCAGCAAAAGUGUUUUAAGAGAUACUCACUGAAAUAUCACCACCCUUCUUCUAAAUGACUUUUAAUAUCUCAAUAUGACUUUCAAAUACAAAACUGUAUUUCAAAUUAUCUUUAAAUACCGUGUCAUUUUCAUUAUCUGGAUAUUAUGGUUAAUUUCAAAUAUCAUUUUCAUUCAUAAGCUUUUGCAUGUGACUGAUGUUCAAUACAAGGAAAAUCUCAUAGGUUUGACCAAAAAUGAAAGCGAGCUUUUAGAAAAACUCAGUGACAAGUUGAGAAGCUUGGAGAAAAUGGACUGAAAUGGAAAGGAAUAUAACAAAUACAAAAUCUAUUACAAAAGUCACAGAAAAGAUUAAAAUAAUUUUCUAAUAAUUAAAGACAAGAAAGACGAAAACAAAAUACUUCCUGAUAAUAGCGGAAAUAUUGCUCCAAACGCCUCUGCAUGUCAAUAGUAAUUACAGUGAGGCAAAAAAGAAAAAAAAAAGACAUUUUGAUUGACAAAGAUAAAAUACGAGAGUAUAAUAUGUAUUACAGGAUACUAAGGAUAAAAACUACCCAGGUAGUAAAUUUGAAUUUACCCAACGAUAUUUUUAAGGUGCAUGUUUGUAACUAGUAUUCAUUUUUAAAGCAUUAUCUAAAUAUUUUAAUAAUGUUCAGUAAUAGUAUGUCUAAUUGGAAACUUAUAACAGAUACCUGCAUUGACAUUGUGAUUUAAAAACAGUCAAAAUAAUGAUAAUAUAACUAGCACGAAGAA